AACGAACGCUGGCGGCAUGCCUAACACAUGCAAGUCGAACGAGACCUUCGGGUCUAGUGGCGCACGGGUGCGUAACGCGUGGGAAUCUGCCUUUGCUUCGGAAUAACAGUUAUAAAUGACUGCUAAUACCGGAUGAUGUCUUCGGACCAAAGAUUUAUCGGCAAAGGAUGAGCCCGCGUAGGAUUAGGUAGUUGGUGGGUAAAGGCCUACCAAGCCGACGAUCCUUAGCUGGUCUGAGAGGAUGAUCAGCCACACUGGGACUGAGACACGGCCCAGACUCCUACGGGAGGCAGCAGUGGGGAAUAUUGGACAAUGGGCGCAAGCCUGAUCCAGC
rnacentral:rRNA from 1 species